rnacentral:lncRNA from 1 species
CUCCAUUCUCUCUCUCCCUUCUCAUUUCUUCGUGCGACUCCUUCGUGAAUAGCUGAUGUUGAAGACCGGCAGCUCCUUCCUUUGCAAAUUGAAGCCCACGUUCCUCUUCUUCACCGAUUCUGCCAGCCACACGCCAGCCCCACUACCGUUGGUCUCCUUCGGUCAAAACUCCUCUCGCUGGCCUUGGUAGUUGACUGGCGGCAUCCACGAAGCCUUGAAGACCGAAACUCCACCGAGCGAAGCCUCCACCGAAG